rnacentral:misc_RNA from 1 species
AACCUGUUUUGGGACCAUGAAGUACAUGAAGCAGCUUUUGCAACCAGCCACAACCAGGACAUGAUCUUCUUUCUGCACCCGAUAAUGUUCUCUUGAAGAAGAUGGAGGGGAGGAUUCUGAUGAUGACUCCUCACUGUCAUAUGAGCUGUCAUCUUCUGAGUAGAAAUCCCCGUUGUAGGGUGUUAGUCUUGGAUCUUCUUUGGCUUUCAUUCCAUUCCUCCAGUUUAUAUAGUAAAUCUCCCCUGUCUUUAAAUCGAGGCAUUGUUCCCAAUGGUAAGGUAGAGAGAGAUGAGAGUUAAGCUCCAAGGUGGUGUCAUCAGAAGUAGGAAGAAGAUGAUUUUGCUGAGGCGGUGCUGCUUCAGCUUCUGCAUCAGCAUCAACAUCGUCAGAGCUCGAAGACCUCUCUCCAGCGGCUAAAACUCCCCUACUUCGGUGAUGAUUUAGCGAACAGUUUUGAAGAGACCUCUCCA